AUGGAUUGGCGGACUGUUGAUUGUUGAUGCCUGUUCUCCUUGUUAUGCCACUAGAGCAAAGGGGUAUACAGGAUUUUUAUGGACUUAUGGUUUCUGGUUCUUUUUGGUUUCAAGACUAAUCAGUAUUAUAUUUGCUGUCUUUGUUUGUUUGUUGUUGUUCAGAUUGAUUGAUAUAUUGGGUGUCAAAUCCUUCUCUGCGGCAGAUCUGUGAUCGACAUUGCUUGUUUUGCAGGCUGAGUGCAAAGAAAGAAAAUCUGAAGAAUGGCUGCUUUUUGCAAGUGAAUUCUACUACAUGAGAUGAGCAGAAACGAGGAAAAGAAAUAUGAAGAGUCUGGAUAUUGGGUUUUAUGGCAAUAACGAUGUUGAGGGUUCAAGGCUGAACAGGAAUUCACAGAGAAUUACUAAUGCUGGAGGGAAUGCAGAUGCAUUGAAUCCUUCAGCUUGUUCACGUUCAUCAAGCUUUACGAAGUAUGGUAAUGGGGAGGAAGUGUCACUCAAUAAUUUAGCCCUGGGUUACUUGAUCUUCAUGCCAUCGACACGGAGC